rnacentral:rRNA from 1 species
CAGUAGCCGCGGUAAUACAGAGGGUGCGAGCGUUAAUCGGAUUUACUGGGCGUAAAGCGUGCGUAGGCGGCUUCUUAAGUCGGAUGUGAAAUCCCUGAGCUUAACUUAGGAAUUGCAUUCGAUACUGGGAAGCUAGAGUAUGGGAGAGGAUGGUAGAAUUCCAGGUGUAGCGGUGAAAUGCGUAGAGAUCUGGAGGAAUACCGAUGGCGAAGGCAGCCAUCUGGCCUAAUACUGACGCUGAGGUACAAAAGCAUGGGGAGCAAACAGGAUUAGAUACCCCUGUAGUCCCUGUCUCUUAUAC